rnacentral:rRNA from 1 species
UACGUAGGGUGCAAGCGUUGCCCGGAUUUAUUGGGCGUAAAGGGCGCGCAGGCGGCUACGCACGUCCGUUGUGAAAUCGCUCGGCUCAACUGGGCGGGGUCAGCGGAUACGGCGUAGCUGGAGCAAGCUAGGGGCAAUGGAAUUCCCGGUGUAGUGGUGGAAUGCGUAGAUAUCGGGAGGAACACCAGUGGCGAAGGCGAUCUUCUGGUCUGUUUCUGACACUCAGACGCGACAGCUAGGGUAGUAAACGGG